UUUUUUUUUCUCCCCACGGAUAAGAGUAGCCGUGCGGCAAAUGAAUCCUAUUAAUCGCAGGGGUUAUCUCGUGGAUAAGGUGGAGUAAAAUCAUGCAUAUCCUUCCAGAUACUGCCCGCACACCCAUGUGUAAUCGCGGGCAAGAGGCGUUCCCCUACAUACCACAAUCGCAGGAGACUUCAGUGCAAAGGAUAGGUGCGUGACGUCAUUUAUGGACGGCCCCUUUGGGAUUGCACCCUCCAAUGAAGACCACUUUAUAGUUCGUCCUACACCAUCAUUUGAGGAUCACUGGUUUAAUGCGAGCAAACUCUAGACGUCUUUUUGUCGUUGUAAUGGAAUUCAUCUUCAAAUAAAUAUCACUGAUUAAUUUUGUCUAAUUCUAUUUGCAAUAAUGCGUCUCCUUAAUCAUUUGUGUAAACAUGUUUGCACUGGGCACCGCGAGCCUCACUCGUCUAGUAUUGCUCCCACUAUCUAACAGUGUUGAGAUUCUCUGUUCAAGAACCCCUGUGACAGACCGGAUCGAGCCCUCGCCAUGUCUGUGACCCGCUGCCGUUGACCUCUUGCCGGCACUCCGGUCACGACCAGUGCCACCCUCGCUGCAUCCCGGUGCCCCGGUGGCCAGAUGUUUACAACCUCUCUAGAUGCCGACAUUCAUGACGGGGCUGUUGGACAAAAUCCAUUCGGAGUUCACCUUACACUGGAGCGUCAGCAAGAGCACGCGAGACAGCGAGAGCAAACGAUAACAAUAAGAAUGUGACUCUAGCAUUACCAUUUACGACAUCAUCACUACCACCAGCAGCCACCACAAUCAUCACCGGCAUCAUCAGCAUCACUCGAAUUACCAAUAACG